AUUGAACGCUGGCGGCAUGCUUUACACAUGCAAGUCGGACGGCAGCACAGAGAAGCUUGCUUCUUGGGUGGCGAGUGGCGUACGGGUGAGUAAUAUAUCGGAACGUACCGAGUAAUGGGGGAUAACUAAUCGAAAGAUUAGCUACUACCGCAUAUUCUCUGAGGAGGAAAGCAGGGGACCUUCGGGCCUUGCGUUAUUCGAGCGGCCGAUAUCUGAUUAGCUAGUUGGUGGGGUAAAGGCCUACCAAGGCGACGAUCAGUAGCGGGUCUGAGAGGAUGAUCAGCCACACUGGGACUGAGACACGGCCCAGACUCCUACGGGAGGCAGCAGUGGGGAAUUUUGGAAAAUGGGCGCAAGCCUGAUCCAGCCAUGCAGCGUGUCUGAAGAAGGCCUUCGGGUUGUAAAGGACUUUUGUCAGGGAAGAAAAGGCUGUUGCUAAUAUCGACAGCUGAUGACGGUACAUGAAGAAUAAGCAACGGCUAACUACGUG
rnacentral:rRNA from 1 species